rnacentral:lncRNA from 1 species
UGAAUGAGGAACGGGCCGGAGGGAUCGUAUUACAGGAAAAAAAAAUAUCCGCGUUGUUGACAAAAGCGAGUAGCCUCUUUUCGUUGUAUCAAAACAAAGUCGGCCAAAGUCCGAUCGAUCCUUGUAUAAGCGAGAGAAAAAAAAAAAAAAAAGCGACACUCUUUCAGAAAUAAAAAAUUCCUAAAAAAUGGAUGUACGGUGCGAAUGAAUCUUUCGAAAGCUUCGAUGAUAAAUUGUUACUGUUCUUUCGUGUUUUUUUUUUUUUUUAUUUUUCUAUUUUGUAAAAAAUGCCUGCCCAUUCACGCUUCUCAGCGAGGGCACUCGGACGGAUCGUCGGUCGCGUUUGAUUGAAAAAAGAAAAAGAAAAGAAAGAAAAGAAAGAUAAGAAAGAAAGAGAGAAGAAAUCAUCACAUCGAUUUUCACAUCUCUUUCUUCUCUCGAAAGAGAACACUUUUCUUUACUCGCGUGAAAAUUACUUAUCGUACUCGAAAGAAGGGAGAGAGGAGGGGGAAAAAAAAAAAGAAAAGGAAAAGAGAGAAAAACGCGACGCGACGAUCCGUCGAACGGUCCGAGCAUUUUGAUAAUCCGCGAUUAAUCCAUUAUUAUUAUUAUUAUCGCCAUUAUUAUUGCUAUUACUAUUAUUAUUAUUAUUAUCAUUAUUAUUACUAUUAUCGCUACUAUUAUCGCUAUUAAUUAUUAAUAAUUAGUUGAUUAUUAAUUAAAAGAUUGCUAAAGGGCAAUUGGAGGCGUAUUUUUUAGAGAGAAACGAGAGAAAAUAUCGAAUCGUUCGAUUCGAGUUUGUUCGAAUCGUCCAAAAGUCAUAUAUAUAUAUAUAUACGUACAUAUAUAUAUAUAUAUAUAUAUAUAUAAAAUUAUAUAUCAUCUUCCCCGAUCGCAUAUCCAUCCCGAUCGAACUCCGGUUUCCCCUCGCGAUCGUAGGCGACUGUUAUCGACUUUCGAUGCUCUCAGCACCGCGAAAAUGUCCCUCGGUCGACGAAUUUCACGCGUUAUUUUAUUAUUUCGCACGUAUUAUUCGCGUAUAUAUACAUAACGUGUAUAACAAUUUCGUAUCGAGAAAAAGAUUCUUCGUCUUUCGGCUUCUUACUUUUUUUUUUUUUUUUUUUCUAACAAAAUUACAAUAGACGUAAUAGAGCAAUUCGAAUUGCGGGAAAAUUGUGGGGAAAAAAGAGCAAAAGAAAAAAAAAAGGGAAGGAAACGAGCGGAUCCGUUGACCGGUGGGGCCGAAUUUAUAAUUAAUAGAGCCUUCUGUUUUCACCGCAGCAUAUCCAUUUUCCUCGUGAUAGCGUUCCUAAUUGAUUAAUUCGCGACACCUUACACGCAAAUCCCCCCUUCCUCCCCUCCCAAAUCCUCUCCAGCACGUCUCCAUACCUAGAGCCACCUUCCCCUCCCCACCCCACUCCUUGGAACCUGUGUAUCCUCUUCCACCAACUGCACACCCCCUCACGUUUCCAAUCCACAGCCACCACCUUAGUCCCUCCACUAGCAAACCGAUUAACCAAUGUGAGUGAAUGUGUCAACACGUGCUACAAGGGAAAUAAAGCGGAUUUCAAAGAGGAUACAUAAAACGGCGGAAAAAAGUGCAAAAGUUGGGGAAAAAAAAAAAAAAAAAAAAAUGAAAAAGAAAAAGAAAAAAUCCAAUAGGGAAAGCGUCGAGCAAACACACUACGACCCGGAGGAAGAAAAAAAAUCGAUCGAUCGGAAAAACGUACACACACACACAUUCGUCGGACUGUGUAGGGACAUUUUGCAUCAAUUGUGUAAACACGAGACAGAGGGAGAAAGUGUGCGUGUGUGUGAGAGAAAGAAAACAUUUAAAAAAAAAAAAAACGUCGAGAGAGAAUGCGCGUGUGGAAGAGCGAGAGCGAGAGGUAAGAAGAGAGACAAAAAAAAAAAAAAGAAAAAAGCGCGAGCGAGAAGAAUAAGACGACGGAAGCUAAAAAAGGAUAAAAAGGAAAAAA